rnacentral:lncRNA from 1 species
GUGGGUGGGCAGUUGUUAGACGUUAAGCCAGAAAGGAGGGCAGGGACCACUUACAGAGGGACUGGUGUGUUGCAGAGCGCUGGCUGGGGAGCUGGAGCUUUCUCCCAGUGACGCUGGGAGUGUGUGUGUGUGUGUGUGUGUGUGUGUGUGUGUGUGUGUGUGUUGCAGGUUGUGAGGUGAGCAGCAGGGUUAGAUCUGUUUUGAAACAAUUCCUCUGGCUGCUGUGUGAGGAGUGGAUGGAAGGCAAGGCUGGGGCCUGGACACCUGACCAGGUGCCAGGGAGCAGGAAUUGGUGGCUUGACCAUGUGGAUGGAGAGAAGUAGCUGGGACUACAGGCAUGCGCCACCAUGCCCGGCUAUGUUAUUUAAUAAUACCCAACAUUCGCUUAUCCAGUGCCGGGCAUUCUCACAAGCAUUCUAAAACAGGUAUUAACUUGUUGACCCUCAAAACAAUCCCAUAAGUUAGAUGAUAUCUCAUCCCCUAUUUUAUAUAUAAGGGAACGAGGCAAAGGGUCUGGACACUUGCCCAACGCCACGCAGUA